UACGGAGGGUGCGAGCGUUGUCCGGAUUUAUUGGGCGUAAAGAGCGUGUAGGCGGCCAGGUAGGUCUGCUGUGAAAACUCGAGGCUCAACCUCGAGACGUCGGCGGAAACCAUCUGGCUAGAGUCCGGAAGAGGAGAGUGGGAAUUCCCUGGUGUAGCGGUGAAAUGCGCAGAUAUCAGGAAGAACACCCGUGGCGAAGGCGGCUCUCUGGGACGGUACUGACGC
rnacentral:rRNA from 1 species